rnacentral:lncRNA from 1 species
GCAGAAGUCAAAAGUUUUGCAAGGAAACCGAUGAGGUUGCUGACCUGAGCUGGGCAGGGUUGAACAGGCGAGUGCCAAGAUCAAGGUCUCUGAUUGUCUCUCCUUGAAAGGUAAGCAGAGAACUAGGGCUAUCCCAUAAAUUAAGUGGGAGAUUGGAAAGGGGUGCGGACUUCUGUAUUGGGGAGAAGGUCUUGGAUGAACUGGGGCAGAGAACUGCCAGAGAGAGUACCUAGGAAUACGUUGUUAGCAGGAGAAAGACCAAGUUCAGAUGCAGACUUGGGAAAGUAGGUAACUUGACCAAAGGUAGCAAAAUUAGACUACCCAACUGGAUUGUGAAUGCAGUUUAUGAAAUGGAUCAGGACAGGAGCAAAAAUAGAUUUUCUAGAAACUGCAGACUCCUGUGAUUGGAGCAGUAUACAAAGUACAGCAACAUCAGACUAGAUCUCACCUGAGGUGCUGGGUGAGAAAUCUUAGGGACCAGAUGGAAGAGGGCCUGUGUAUAAAGACAUUAGGAAGGAGGUUUGGGAGGGCAGCCUGACUUGUCUCCAGAGAAAGUUAGAACUGGUUGACUUAGCAACCAAGGGACACUGGGUCAAAGACGAGGAAUCAGGACGUCGGUGCCUAGUGACUGAGCGCCAGCCCAGCCCAUUUCUCUACAUUGCCAUGGGCUAAACCCAGUGUGCUGUAAACUCUUCAGUUCCUUUGGUUAUGGAUUUUGUAUCUUUUCUGUGUUUCUUAAUAAAGUUCUUUUGAAAAAUGGGAACCUUUCUCAGAUGGGAAUUUUGUAUCUUUCCUCUGUUUCUUAAUAAAGUUCUUUUGAAAAAUUGGAA